ACGUACACUCCUGCGGGAGGCAGCAGUGGGGAAUAUUGGACAAUGGGCGCAAGCCUGAUCCAGCCAUGCCGCGUGAGUGAUGAAGGCCCUAGGGUUGUAAAGCUCUUUCACCGGUGAAGAUAAUGACGGUAACCGGAGAAGAAGCCCCGGCUAACUUCGUGCCAGCAGCCGCGGUAAUACGAAGGGGGCUAGCGUUGUUCGGAUUUACUGGGCGUAAAGCGCACGUAGGCGGACUAUUAAGUCAGGGGUGAAAUCCCGGGGCUCAACCCCGGAACUGCCUUUGAUACUGGUAGUCUUGAGUUCGAGAGAGGUGAGUGGAAUUCCGAGUGUAGAGGUGAAAUUCGUAGAUAUUCGGAGGAACACCAGUGGUGAAGGCGGCUCACUGGCUCGAUACUGACGCUGAGGUGCGAAAGCGUGGGGAGCAAACAGGAUUAGAAACCCGUGUAGUCC
rnacentral:rRNA from 1 species